rfam:Pseudomonas putida KT2440 complete genome.
GGUGGCCAGGGCGUUCACGACAGUCGAUCAACGAAUACUGUUCGCGAGCACUCCCAGCCGCC